rnacentral:snoRNA from 1 species
UGAUGGCAGUGAUUUGACAUUACCCGCACUUCUGAUCUAAUCCGUGAAGCAAAGGGAAAAAUAAUGGUUGAAUUUCUUAAUAUGAGCCGUUCA